GAAAAUGUUUUUUUCAUGAAUGACGUCUUACGCCCCUAGCUUCCGAGACUCCGGACUUCCGCGACAUCGCAUAGGACAACUUGAGCGCAGAGCCAACAGCCAUUAGAUGCCUUGUCAUUCUUGGAGAUAACGCGUCUAUGUCCUUCAAGAGCAGUUCAAUGAAGUCACUGAGGGAGACUCCGUGGACAUUCCAGUGGGAAUCCUCUGCUAUGAGGACAACAAAGCUGCAAGCCCAGCAUUGCCACAACUCAACCCCUGAAAUGAGGCAUCAUCCUAGAGGGCAGCCUUUCAGUGGAAGCACUCACCAACCUACCUCAAGCAAUGUACCUCAUGUGUGGCUUUGCCUAAAAACUGCAGUACCUGAAGUGCUUGAAAAACACUUUUACCUUCAUUCAGCAGGUAAUGCUAAAAUUAGGUCGAGGUGAACCAUCUCCAAAAGUUCAGAAGCUGAAGAAUGAGUUUGCAGUGUAAGAAUUAAGAAUUAAGUAUUAAAAUGUAAUGUUUCUAACAAGUUCUUCCAACAAGCCGCUGUUCGUGCUUCGGCAGCCGUGUGUAAAUGUUGGCUCCCCAGAGGUUGCAAUGGAGGUGAGCGCAGUAAUUCGGGGAACCUCAGACAAGCCCCAACGCCAAGCCCAUAAACCGGCACGUCUGCGGCUCAUGUCCCACUCAGUCAGUCAUUCCCAGGGUUGCCAACUUUGGUCAGCUGGCUGGAGUGAGAUUUUCAAUUUGAGACAAGUCAGCACACAUACAACAGCUCUUCAUGUCUGUGUCUGGAUUGUUGCACAAUUACUUUGCACUGACUAGAGCAAAUAGUCUUGCAGUUGCUCAUUUUGUAUCUGAUUCUUCUUGUGCUAGAUGUAUCUAGUAUUGUUUUUUUAUUAUCAUUAUUCCACAGACGUCACAUUUUAGAAAAGUUUCAGUUUUUUUUUUUACCAAUUCUGAUCCUCACUGCAUAGUUGUUCUUAAGGCUGAUGUUCUUGAUGCCUGCUUUGUUGUGUGGCACAUACAUACAUACAGUUUUUCUUUUGCACCUGUAGUAUAUGCUGCUACUGCAUAGUCAGUAUAUGCUGCAUGGUCAGUGUUUUUUCUCAAACUUGAUAAUUGUUCACAGAGCAAACAAAAAACUGUUCUCUGAUUGUAUUUGGAUUGAUAUUGUUUCAUAAUCAAUUUGUGUGUUUCAGUAAAAUAAAUGAAAAGUACUGCAUUGUGUGGUCAUAGACAAAAUAAUUUAAUUGGGAUAUUCUUAUCUAAAGUAUU